CGAAAAGAAGUUACCUUGAACUUAAACAAUUUUUAUAAGGUAUAUUAUUGUGUUACUUGUGACUUGAAGCCUCACGAUUGCAGGUGAUAUUAAAUUCGUUCAUUAGUUAUCUACCUUAUUUCUUGAUUAACUCUUAACUCUUGGAAGUAUAUCACCGUGGAAGUAUUCAGAUCAGUGUUCAUACAAGUUUAGCCAAGUGCUGUUGGAAGUACUGGUGUGAUCUUUAAGAAAAUUGCUAUCUGCAUUGAUCAGUGGUUAAGUCCUUAUGGUUUGUUCAUCAUACAGAGCAGCGUACCUUAAGGAUUUAUUUGGUGGAAACUUUUAUUAUCGUGAACUAAAACUUAAACAAAAUGACCAUUCUUGAUUUAGAAAUUGAAGAAUCCGACUUUAAUGAAACAGAGCUUUCAUUGAUAAUGGAAGACCUUCGGGAGGCCAUCAGAACUCAUAACUCUAUAGAUGAUAUAAUGAUCUGUAUUCAAAACUGUUGGAA